rnacentral:rRNA from 1 species
UACCAGCACCCCGAGUGGUCGGGACGAUUAUUGGGCCUAAAGCAUCCGUAGCCGGUUCUACAAGUCUUCCGUUAAAUCCACCUGCUUAACAGAUGGGCUGCGGAGGAUACUAUAGAGCUAGGAGGCGGGAGAGGCAAGCGGUACUUAGUGGGUAGGGGGUAAAAUCCGUUGAUCCAUUGAAGACCACCAGUGGCGAAGGCGGCUUGCCAG